AUUGAACGCUGGCGGCAUGCCUUACACAUGCAAGUCGAACGGUAACAGGUCUUCGGAUGCUGACGAGUGGCGAACGGGUGAGUAAUACAUCGGAACGUGCCCGAUCGUGGGGGAUAACGGAGCGAAAGCUUUGCUAAUACCGCAUACGAUCUACGGAUGAAAGCAGGGGACCGCAAGGCCUUGCGCGGACGGAGCGGCCGAUGGCAGAUUAGGUAGUUGGUGGGAUAAAAGCUUACCAAGCCGACGAUCUGUAGCUGGUCUGAGAGGACGACCAGCCACACUGGGACUGAGACACGGCCCAGACUCCUACGGGAGGCAGCAGUGGGGAAUUUUGGACAAUGGGCGAAAGUCUGAUCCAGCCAUGCCGCGUGCAGGAUGAAGGCCUUCGGGUUGUAAACUGCUUUUGUACGGAACGAAAAGACUCUUUCUAAUAAAGAGGGUCCAUGACGGUACCGUAAGAAUAAGCACCGGCUAACUACGUG
rnacentral:rRNA from 1 species